GAGUUUGAUCCUGGCUCAGGAUGAACGCUGGCGGCAUGCCUGAUACAUGCAAGUCGAUCGGGGAGCUUGCUCCCAGAGGCGAACGGGUGAGUAACACGUAUCUAACCUGCCUUAUAGUCUGGAAUAACUGCUGGAAACGGUAGCUAAUACCGGAUAGAGAUAUUAUGGAAUCAUUUUUGAUCGAAAGGCCCGUUUGGGUCGCUAUAAGAUGGGGAUGCGGUGUAUUAGUUAGUAGAUGAGGUAAUGGCUCACCUAGACGAUGAUACAUAGCCGGCCUGAGAGGGUGGACGGCCACACUGGAACUGAGACACGGUCCAGACUACUACGGUGGGCAGCAGUAGGGAAACAUUCACAAUGGGCGAAAGCCUGAUGGUGCGAUGCCGCGUGUGUGAUGACGGUCUUCGGAUUGUAAAGCACUGUUGUAAGGGAAGAACGAUAAGUAUAGGAAAUGAUGCUUAUGUGACGGUACCUUACCAGAAAGUCACGGCUAACUACGUGCCAGCAGCCGCGGUAAUACGUAGGUGACAAGCGUUAUCCGGAUUUACUGGGCGUAAAGAGGGAGCAGGUGGUUCAACAAGUCAGUGGUUAAAGACCGGAGCUCAACUCCGUGUAUGCCAUUGAAACUGUUGAACUAGAGUAUAGGAGAGGUAAGCGGAAUUUCACGUGUAGCGGUGGAAUGCGUAGAUAUGUGAAGGAACGCCAGUGGCGAAGGCGGCUUACUGGCCUAUUACUGACACUCAGUCCCGAAAGCGUGGGGAGCAAAUAGGAUUAGAUACCCUAGUAGUCCACGCCGUAAACGUUGAGCAUUAGGUGUCGGGGUUUCUCGGUGCCACAGUUAACGCAAUAAAUGCUCCGCCUGGGAAGUAUGCUCGCAAGAGUGAAACUCAAAGGAAUUGACGG
rnacentral:rRNA from 1 species